AGGAUGCUGCACCGCUUCCUGUCGGCCUUGACACAUUUCUUGUGUCCUUAUGUUUACAAGGGGGAGACAAGCACCUCCACCCAGCUAAACCUGCAUCCAGAGACAUGUUUCUGAAUCUUUGCUCGUCAUCAGUCUGGAGUAGCAUGACGAGCAAAGACUCAGAAAUAUGUCUCUUGAUGCAGGAUUAGCUGGGUGGAGGUGCUUGUCUCCCCCUUGUAAACAUAAGGACACGGGAAAU
rnacentral:SRP_RNA from 1 species